GCCAGUGUGGCAUAGUGGUUUAAACAAUGGACUACGACUCUGGAGACCAGGGUUCAAUUCCCCGCUCAGCCA
rnacentral:tRNA from 1 species